UUAAAUAGAAUUGGUUUUUUAGAAAAAUUCAUUUGGAAGACUUCAGGAAAAGACAGCAGAGUUGGAGGAUUCUAAGUUCAUCUCAUCCCAUGAUACACCAGGCCUCCAGAGUCUUCCUUUGUACAGAAAUUAACUACUCCAAAUAUUUCCAGAAUAUGAUUAAUAAGUAAGUUAAU
rnacentral:lncRNA from 1 species